GAUGAACGCUGGCGGCGUGCCUAAUACAUGCAAGUCGAGCGAACAGACGAGGAGCUUGCUCCUCUGACGUUAGCGGCGGACGGGUGAGUAACACGUGGAUAACCUACCUAUAAGACUGGGAUAACUUCGGAAAACCGGAGCUAAUACCGGAUAAUAUAUUGAACCGCGGGGUUCAAUAGUGAAAGACGGUUUUGCUGUCACUUAUAGAUGGAUCCGCGCCGCAUUAGCUAGUUGGUAAGGUAAAGGCUUACCAAGGCAACGAUGCGUAGCCGACCUGAGAGGCGGAUCGGCCACACUGGAACGUAGACACGGUCCAGACUCCUACGGGAGGCAGCAGUAGGGAAUCUGCCGCAAUGGGCGGAAGCCUGACGGAGCAACGCCGCGUGAGUGAUGAAGGUCUUCGGAUCGUAAAACUCUGUUAUUAGGGAAGAACAAAUGUGUAAGUAACUAUGCCCGUCUUGACGGUACCUAAUCAGAAAGCCACGGCUAACUACGUG
rnacentral:rRNA from 1 species